rnacentral:rRNA from 1 species
GGGUCAGUAGGUUGGUCGUGCCACCGGUACGUACUGGGCUCACUGAUUCCUCCUUCCUGAAGAACCGUAAUGCCAUUAAUUUGGUGUUGCGGGGAAACAGGACUGUUACUUUGAAAAAAUUAGAGUGUUUAAAGCAAGCUAACGCUUGAAUACAUUAGCAUGGAAUAAUGAAAUAGGACGAUCGAUCCUAUUUUGUUGGUUUCUAGGAUUGACGUA